CCUACGUGAGGCAGCAGUGGGGAAUUUUGGACAAUGGGCGCAAGCCUGAUCCAGCUAUUCCGCGUGUUGGAUGACGGCCCUCGGGUUGUAAACCACUUUAGUAGAGAACGAAAAGGAGCUAUCGAAUAAAUAGCUCUGCUGACGUUACUCUAAGACUAAGCACCGGCUAACUACGUGCCAGCAGCCGCGGUAAUACGUAGGGUGCGAGCGUUACUCGGAAUUACUGGGCGUAACAGGUUUGCAUGCGGCUGAGUAAGACAGAUGUGAAAUCCCCGGGCUUAAACUGGGAACCGCAUAUGUGACUGAUUGGCUAGAGGUCGUCAGAGGGAGGGGGAAUGCAACGUGUAGCAGUGAAAUGCGUAGAGAUGUGGAAGAACACCGAUGGCGAAGGCAG
rnacentral:rRNA from 1 species